CUGCCACCUCUUAGCUUCCCGCCAGUUGAAGCUGCCUUUGAGAGACCCGUGGAGCAAAGGUUAAAAUCUAAUUGGAAGAAGGAGUGAAAGCAUGGCCAGCAGCUCUUCAGGGCGGGAUUAAUUGCUCCGUCUGCAAACUGCUCUCAGCACAAAGUAUUCCUUGGCAGGAAUCUUUGCCCGUCUCUCGCCUUGCUUCUGCUCUGUAUGGCCUGCGCCUAGAAUGCCAUAAAUAAUCUGUGGGAGGAUGCUUCGUGUGUGGAAGCCAAGUUCAGUCUUGGGGUUUUGGAGACAACAGAAUGGAACAGGAAACUGAGAAAGUCCAGACACACAGAGGCCAAAGAAGAGGAGACAGCAUGGACUCAGGGGACAAUGUAAAAAGCAUUUACUAUGUUGAAACUUGAAAAGGAAGCCAUAACAUGAGAGGUCAAAUGUCAUUUGUCCCUGAUACAAAUGUGUUUGUGUUAUGUAUAAUCUGUAAGUGUUCACUGAAAUUUAAAAUAAAGUGGUC